GUCCACGCCCUAAACGGUGGGCACUAGGUGUAGGGCUCGUAAGGGUUCUGUGCCGAAGGGAAACCAUUAAGUGCCCCGCCUGGGGGAGUACGGCCGCAAGGUUGAAACUCAAAGGAAUUGACGGGGGCCCGCACAAGCGGUGGAGCAUGUGGUUUAAUUCGACGCAACGCGAAGAACCUUACCUGGGCUUGACAUGUGAGUGGUAGGAAACUGAAAAGGGACCGACCCGUAGCAAUACGGGAGCUCAUGCAGGUGCUGCAUGGCUGUCGU
rnacentral:rRNA from 1 species